AUUGAACGCUGGCGGCAGGCCUAACACAUGCAAGUCGAACGGUAACAGGGAUCAGCUUGCUGAUUCGCUGACGAGUGGCGGACGGGUGAGUAAUGUCUGGGAAACUGCCUGAUGGAGGGGGAUAACUACUGGAAACGGUAGCUAAUACCGCAUAACGUCGCAAGACCAAAGAGGGGGACCUUCGGGCCUCUUGCCAUCGGAUGUGCCCAGAUGGGAUUAGGUAGUAGGUGGGGUAACGGCUCACCUAGGCGACGAUCCCUAGCUGGUCUGAGAGGAUGACCAGCCACACUGGAACUGAGACACGGUCCAGACUCCUACGGGAGGCAGCAGUGGGGAAUAUUGCACAAUGGGCGCAAGCCUGAUGCAGCCAUGCCGCGUGUAUGAAGAAGGCCUACGGGUUGUAAAGUACUUUCAGCGGGGAGGAAGGGAGUAAAGUUAAUACCUUUGCUCAUUGACGUUACCCGCAGAAGAAGCACCGGCUAACUCCGUG
rnacentral:rRNA from 1 species